rfam:Gossypium raimondii Chr04_contig_269, whole genome shotgun sequence.
UGUUGAAAAUUUUAUCCAUUUGUACAGUUAAAAACUAAUGUAGCUGAUAGAAGAACCAAACAGUGACAUGGCAUAUCAUGUAUACUUCAUGCUAACAUACAUGACCAGUUUUUAACCACAAAAAUAGAUGUAAUUUUUAAGA